rnacentral:rRNA from 1 species
AGUUGAGCGAUUUACUUCGGUAAGAGCGGCGGACGGGUGAGUAACGCGUGGGUAACCUACCCUGUACACACGGAUAACAUACCGAAAGGUAUGCUAAUACGGGAUAAUAUAUUUGAGAGGCAUCUCUUAAAUAUCAAAGGUGAGCCAGUACAGGAUGGACCCGCGUCUGAUUAGCUAGUUGGUAAGGUAACGGCUUACCAAGGCGACGAUCAGUAGCCGACCUGAGAGGGUGAUCGGCCACAUUGGAACUGAGACACGGUCCAAACUCCUACGGGAGGCAGCAGUGGGGAAUAUUGCACAAUGGGCGAAAGCCUGAUGCAGCAACGCCGCGUGAGUGAUGAAGGCCUUCGGGUCGUAAAACUCUGUCCUCAAGGAAGAUGAUGACGGUACUUGAGGAGGAAGCCCCGGCUAACUACGUGCCAGCAGCCGCGGUAAUACGUAGGGGGCUAGCGUUAUCCGGAUUUACUGGGCGUAAAGGGUGCGUAGGCGGUCUUUCAAGUCAGGAGUGAAAGGCUACGGCUCAACCGUAGUAAGCUCUUGAAACUGGGAGACUUGAGUGCAGGAGAGGAGAGUGGAAUUCCUAGUGUAGCGGUGAAAUGCG